CCCUCACCCUCACCCUCCAUCUCCGAUCUCAAGCCCUCACACCCCGCCGUCAUCGCACAGACAAAGUCCGUGUCUCGUGUCUCUCUCUCUCUGUGAAAUCAGAAAAAGCUGAGAGAGACUCAAAUCUGAUUCUACAAGGUACGAUCUUCUAUGGCUUUUCAUUUUGAUAGCAUUUUUUUCCUAUAAUAUACCCAUGGCUGAGCUCAUCUCCCUUGCUUGCAUGUGGGUCUCUUAUGAUGUGAAUCUCUUGGGUCACAAGGAUCGCUAAGGAUUGACUUUGAGUUUUGGAAGACUUUGUUCCCGGUGUUCUCUCGUCAACUAUUAAUUUUUCCUGUGUCUGCCAACAUGAUAAUAUAACUGAACGAGAUAAGCCAAUUAUCAAGCAAACCCUCUUUUCUUGAUACAACACCUUGUUGGCUCCAAAGACUUGUAGCUCUCAGCCACACAUUUGAAUCUUAUUCAAGCACACGAAGUUUCUCAUCAAUUGCCUUAGCCCUGUGGGAAAAGCUCAGGAAUAGUGAUGCAGUUGGGACUAUAAAAAGGGAUGUCAUAGAGAGGAACAUGCAUUAGGGUGAAAUUAAGCUGUGUGAAGAUCUAAAGAAAAAAAAAACAGUGCUUUGUUAAGAGUGGAGAUCUUGUUGCGAUCUUGGCUUCACUGGGUUUCUAGAGAGGUAUUAUUGGAUUUUUCAAAUUAAUUGUGAACUUCAGUUUUGGACAUAAACUUACGCAUUGCAUUCUCUAUUUAGAGGGUUUUCAAUUGUGCAUGAUUAAUUUUCUUGCUGCUAUUGUGGGGUUUUUUUGAGCCAAUAUAUGGUGCUGUAUGUUGUUACUCAUAUGAAAAUGUUGAUAAGGAUAGGAUUGCAUGAUUACUGACAACUUCGUUGGCUGUUUAAGUUGUAGCUUUUUAGACCACGUCUUCCAAGUGUUAGAUUAUUGUGUAAAUAGGUACAUUAGCACAGUUAAGAGGAUCAAGCACUAACUUUUGCAAAAUAA